CCGAGUUUACAACUCCCAAACCCCAUGUGAACAUACCUGUUUCGUUCCCUCUGGCGGGCCGUUGCCGGACACCGCCGAGGACCCAACAAACUCUUUUGAAUUUUUCAGUAUCUUCUGAGUGAAAAAAACAAUAAAUCA
rnacentral:misc_RNA from 1 species